UACGUAGGGACCGAGCGUUGUCCGGAAUCAUUGGGCGUAAAGAGCGUGUAGGCGGCCACUUAAGUCCUGCGUGAAAUCUUGCGGCUCAACCGCAAGCGGUCGUGGGAAACUGGGUGGCUAGAGUGCGGGAGAGGAGAGUGGAAUUCCUGGUGUAGCGGUGAAAUGCGUUGAUAUCAGGAGGAACACCCAUGGCGAAGGCAGCUAACUGGGCAUUAUCUGACGCUGAGGCGCGAAAGCGUGGGUAGCAAACAGG
rnacentral:rRNA from 1 species